AAGCUUGAACCAGAGAGGAAAGUUCAAUUGGCUAAUGAACUUGGCUUGCAGCCUAGACAAAUUGCUAUUUGGUUUCAAAAUAGGCGCGCUCGAUACAAAACUAAAGUACUUGAGAAGGAUUAUGAUGCUUUGAAAGCUAGCUUUGAUAAGCUUAAAGCUGAUUAUGACACCCUUUUCAAAGAGAAUGAGGAUUUGAGAAAUGAGGUCCAUUUGCUUACA
rnacentral:misc_RNA from 1 species